rnacentral:rRNA from 1 species
UACGAAGGGUGCAAGCGUUACUCGGAAUUACUGGGCGUAAAGCGUGCGUAGGCGGUUUGUUAAGUCUGUCGUGAAAGCCCCGGGCUCAACCUGGGAAAUGGCGAUGGAUACUGGCGAGCUAGAGUACGGUAGAGGAGAGUGGAAUUCCCGGUGUAGCAGUGAAAUGCGUAGAGAUCGGGAGGAACAUCAGUUGCGAAGGCGGCUCUCUGGACCAGUACUGACGCUGAG